rnacentral:ncRNA from 2 species
CAGGUUGGCCGGGUGAUUGCGGUCCUAAGCGCACGCGAAGGGAUCGAGGAAAGUCCGCACUCCCCAGAGCGCGAUGCCGGAUAACGUCCGGGGCGGAGCAAUUCGCCGGAUUGGGCCACAGAAAAUAACAGCCUCCCCUUUAGGGGGGAGGUGAUGGUGAAAAGGCGGUGUAAGAGACCACCGGCGCGGAUGGCAACAUUCGCGGCCAGGCAACCCCCAUCGGGAGCAAGGCCAAGCAGGAAUGAAC